UGAUGGGAGCUAGCUUGCUAGAAGAAGUCAUGGCGGACGGGUGAGUAACGUGUAAAGAACUUACCAUAUAGACUGGGAUAACAGAGGGAAACUUCUGAUAAUACUGGAUAAGUUAGUAGUAGCAUUACUAAGUAAUGAAAGGUAGCAAUACGCUAUAUGAGAGCUUUGCAUCCUAUUAGCUAGUUGGUGGGGUAAAAGCCUACCAAGGCGAUGAUAGGUAGCCGGCCUGAGAGGGUGGACGGCCACAAGGGGACUGAGAUACGGCCCUUACUCCUACGGGAGGCAGCAGUGGGGAAUAUUGGACAAUGGAGGCAACUCUGAUCCAGCAAUUCUGUGUGUGUGAAGAAGGUUUUAGGACUGUAAAACACUUUUAGUAGGGAAGAAAGAAAUGACGGUACCUACAGAAGAAGCGACGGCUAAAUACGUGCCAGCAGCCGCGGUAAUACGUAUGUCGCGAGCGUUAUCCGGAAUUAUUGGGCUUAAAGGGCAUCUAGGCGGUUAAACAAGUUGAAGGUGAAAACCUGUGGCUCAACCAUAGGCUUGCCUACAAAACUGUAUAACUAGAGUACUGGAAAGGUGGGUGGAACUACACGAGUAGAGGUGAAAUUCGUAGAUAUGUGUAGGAAUGCCGAUGAUGAAGAUAACUCACUGGGCAGCAACUGACGCUGAAGUGCGAAAGCUAGGGGAGCAAACAGGAUUAGAUACCCUGGUAGUCCUAGCUGUAAACGAUGAUCACUGGGUGUGGGGAUUCGAAGUCUCUGUGCCGAAGCAAAAGCGAUAAGUGAUCCGCCUGGGGAGUACGUUCGCAAGAAUGAAAC
rnacentral:rRNA from 1 species